CCAACUUGGGCUCAGUCCAGUCCGGUUUGGCCCAGUUGGGCAAUACCCCCAUGGGCCCAACUUGGAUCCAGAUCAAACCCGAGAAUCCGAACCCGAACCCGAACCCGAACCCAAACCUGAGCCCAAACCUGAACCUGAACUGGAACCCGAACCCGAAACCCGGGAUCCGAAACCCAAACCCAUUUGACCAAUAAACAGAUUUUUUGCAGUUAAGCCCUUGGCAGUAUGCUAUUUCAGAAAUAGGGACUCCUGUAAUUUGUAUUUGAUCCCUAUAGGAAAGAUUUAUUACAUAAAGGCCCCCAACUAUAUUUAUUUAGUCCCCUCACCCAAGUUUUAUUAUAGAAUAGUACCCUGUAAUUAAGUAUUAGUCCCUGCAAUAAAUCUUAUUGUAUAAAUGAACAAAUUAGAAGCCAACUUUGGGGGCCCUAUUUAGCCGAGUCUAUGCGGGCCCAUUGGGCCGAGUCCGAUAUGGGCCCUAUCAGGCCGUGCCCAUUAUGGGCCAACUUUGGGCUCUGUUGGGCCAUGUCCAAUAGUAUUAUUUUUAAAUUUUGCUUAGUCUGAAAUUAACAAGAAAUUAAUUAAACUUUAACAGGUGAACCUGAUCCGUCUACCUGAAGUAGGAAUCAAGCGAGAAGAAGUAAGUAACUUAAUACUUCAAGUGUGAUUUCUAAAUUAUUUAAUAAACUGAUUAUGUUUUGAUAUAUGUUUUGCAUUCAGUAAAAUGGGU
rnacentral:lncRNA from 1 species